rnacentral:piRNA from 1 species
UAAGACUUUACCGUCAAUGACGGGAA